CCUUUAUAACAAAAACCUUAUUUUGUGCUAGGGCACCACAACGCUUGCUAGUGCCGUAAUAAUUUUCAUGGUAAUUUGCAAGCCAUCCCUGAAAACCUUUCUUUAGAAAGAUAGGAGUUGCCCCUUCCCCAUUUCGUAAAAUGAAGCCAAACUAUCGUAAUAAACGCUGGGAGGAAAGCUCGGAAGCUCCUUCAGAUUUCCAGUUUAAAGAAGAACAAGGACCAACAGUCACAAACUACUUAGACAAUUGCAUUCUUCUUCAUCAGGGUGAAGGCAACAUGCGGCCUAAUUUCUAUGCGUCUCCUCUAGAAACUGUCGCUGAGCCAUGUCGGAUGAGAGGUUCACCGAUCAAUCCGCAGCAAUUCGCACUUAGCUUGUCAAGUAGUCGUACGUUCUUGUCCACCAACUAUCCGAUUGUGAUUGCGAGGACUUGCAGCAGAGAUGCCUAACCUCCUUGCUGUUGACCAGUGCUUUUACUGAAAAUGAGUCCCGUUAACAUUUCCAAAUAUCCCCCAAGGCUGCAGGACGAAGAAUGUUCAGAACAUGAGCCAAAACUUGAUUUUUAAGCAAGGAAAACCAACAGGUUAGAAAUUAGAACCAAUUUGGUUACCAAAAUGCUGGGAAACCAUACCUCAAACCUGUUGAGCUACAAAUACAAUACAUAUUGAAAAAUAGGUGUUGAGCAAAUUUUCUGUUGUUAACAAAACAAGCAGAUGGGAACAUCCUCGUGAACCUAUAUGUCAUAAAUCAUAAUAUCGUGUUCGUGCACAGUUCCUAUUUUUCCGCGGGUGACGAUUUUUAUUUGUACCAGCCAACACAUUACUAUUGGUAGUACAUCAAAGAAUGAAGCUACUCCUUUGAAAGAGAAGAAUAUUGAGAAGGUUACGGAACCAAGAAGUUUUUCUCUCCGAGUACUAGAAGAGAUCACAAAUGAUUUCUCCAAGGAGCGAGCAAUUGGUCAAGGCGCGUAUGCAAAAGUUUACUUGGGGAAGCUUGAAAAUGGAGAAGAAAUUGCCGUGAAGUUGCUGCAUGAUAACACGCUAUCAAUUAACGAUGAGCUAUUCCAAAAUGAGUUUGAUAACCUCAGGAAGCUCAACCAUCCGAACAUUGUACGGUUUGUUGGCUACUGUUAUGAAACACAACGUCAACAUUUGGAGUUCCACGGUAGAACAGUUUUUGGUGGAACAACAUAUAGAGUGCUCUGUUUCGAGUAUAUGCGCAUGGGGAGCCUUCAAAGACAUCUUUCUGACGAAUCUUGUGGACUUGACUGGCAAAGUCGUUACGAAAUUAUCAAGGGGACAUGUGAGGGUUUGAAGUACCUACACGAAGGAUUAAAAGAAUCACUUUACCAUUUGGGCCUAAAUCCCGACAAUAUACUGCUAGAUGAGAAUAUGAUUCCAAAACUUAUUGAUUUUGGUUCGGCCAAGAUCUUUGAUGAAGAACUAACCAGGGUCACGCAGAGUCGUUGGGGAACAAUGGGAUACAUGCCGCCCGAAUACUUAUUCAAUGGCCACGUCUCGAAGAAGUUUGACAUAUUCAGCUUGGGUGUUAUAAUGACAAAGAUAAUUGCAGGGCCUGAGGGUCGCGUUAGAAGUGCUGAAAUGCCUUAUCAAGAGUUUCUUGAUCAACUCUACACUUUGACACACAGGUACAUGAAAACUGGAGGAACAGGCUGGAACCAACGUGUACUUCUUCGCAGACACUAGAUGCAUACUGCGAGCAAGUGAUUAUAUGCACUCAGAUAGCACUGAGCUGCGUGGAGGAGCACAGGGACAAAAGGCCCAGUAUAGUCGACAUUAUUGACAUACUCUAUGCGACUGAAAGUAUGAUUGAGGAGGCUAGACGUCCGUGAUCGUGGAGCUGUGCCGCCUGCUGGAGGGGGAGCUCGGGAACGCGGACCAAACCGAAAGUGUAGCGGCUACUACUUUGUGGAUGUGCGGAUAUCGGCCUCCCCGGUGUGUUAUGCCGGCGCCGCCUUCGUCUUUCUAAUCGGGCUCUUUGUGGAUCAUCACUGCUCCUACUUCUACAAAAAGGCCAGCUCUGCCAACAACGUACGGAUCACCGCUUAUCAUCUACGUACGCCGGCCGUCUUCACCGCCGGCAUGGCGCUUCCUAUGAAUGUCUUAUAUGCACGCUUGGUUAGCUUGCCUUAUGCUUUGUCUUUAUUAUUUUCGCACAUUUGGCCUAUAAUUUUUUUGAAAAGGUUAUCGUCAUAACCGUUGAAACUUAAUCUAAAUUCCGCUACACUGCUGUAUGCGGCACGGUCUUA